rnacentral:rRNA from 1 species
AUUGAACGCUGGCGGCAGGCCUAACACAUGCAAGUCGAGCGGUAACACAGGGAGCUUGCUCCUGGGUGACGAGCGGCGGACGGGUGAGUAAUGUCUGGGAAACUGCCUGAUGGAGGGGGAUAACUACUGGAAACGGUGGCUAAUACCGCAUAACGUCGCAAGACCAAAGAGGGGGACCUUCGGGCCUCUCACUAUCGGAUGAACCCAGAUGGGAUUAGCUAGUAGGCGGGGUAACGGCCCACCUAGGCGACGAUCCCUAGCUGGUCUGAGAGGAUGACCAGCCACACUGGAACUGAGACACGGUCCAGACUCCUACGGGAGGCAGCAGUGGGGAAUAUUGCACAAUGGGCGCAAGCCUGAUGCAGCCAUGCCGCGUGUAUGAAGAAGGCCUUCGGGUUGUAAAGUACUUUCAGCGGGGAGGAAGGCGAUGUGGUUAAUAACCGCAUUGAUUGACGUUACCCGCAGAAGAAGCACCGGCUAACUCCGUGCCAGCCGCCGCCGUAAAAC